rfam:Oryza rufipogon genomic scaffold, chr06
AAUAGGUGUAGUUUUACACUAUUCACGUUCAAUGUUUGACCGCUCGUCUUAUUUGAAAAUUUUUUAUGAUUAGUAUUUUUGUUGCUAUCAGAUGAUAAAACAUGAAUAGUACUUUAUGUGUGAUUAAAUAUUUUCAAAUUUUUCACAAAUUUUUCAAAUAAGACGGACGGUCAAACGUUGGGUACGGAUAUUCACGACUGCACUUAUU